GUCAAGUAAUUAAGUGCAUGUGGUGGAUGCCUUGGCAGUCAGAGGCGAUGAAAGACGUGAUAGCCUGCGAAAAGCUCCGGGGAGGCGGCAAAUAUCCUUUGAUCCGGAGAUGUCUGAAUGGGGGAACCCACCUACUUUAAGGUAGGUAUUGCAACAUGAAUACAUAGUGUUGCAAGGCGAACGAGGGGAAGUGAAACAUCUCAGUACCCUUAGGAAAAGAAAUCAAUUGAGAUUCCCUCAGUAGCGGCGAGCGAACGGGGAUCAGCCCAUUAAGUUAUGUGUGUUUUAGUGGAACGCUCUGGGAAGUGCGAACGUAGAGGGUGAUAUUCCCGUACACGAAAGGGCACACAUAAUGAUGACGAGUAGGGCGAGGCACGUGAAACCUUGUCUGAAUAUGGGGGGACCAUCCUCCAAGGCUAAAUACUCCUGACUGACCGAUAGUGAACCAGUACCGUGAGGGAAAGGCGAAAAGAACCCCUGUGAGGGGAGUGAAAUAGAUCCUGAAACCGCAUGCAUACAAGCAGUGGGAGCACCUUCGUGGUGUGACUGCGUACCUUUUGUAUAAUGGGUCAGCGACUUAUAUUCAGUAGCGAGGUUAACCGUAUAGGGGAGCCGUAGAGAAAUCGAGUCUUAAUAGGGCGUUUAGUUGCUGGGUAUAGACCCGAAACCAGGCGAUCUAUCCAUGAGCAGGUUGAAGGUUGGGUAACACUAACUGGAGGACCGAACCCACUGUCGUUGAAAAGCCAGGGGAUGACUUGUGGAUAGGGGUGAAAGGCUAAUCAAGCCUGGUGAUAGCUGGUUCUCCCCGAAAGCUAUUUAGGUAGCGCCUCGGACGAAUACCAUAGGGGGUAGAGCACUGUUUCGGCUAGGGGGUCAUCCCGACUUACCAAACCGAUGCAAACUCCGAAUACCUAUGAGUACUAUCCGGGAGACAGACUGCGGGUGCUAACGUCCGUAGUCAAGAGGAAAACAAUCCAGACCGCCAGCUAAGGCCCCAAAAUCAUAGUUAAGUGGGAAACGAUGUGGGAAGGCAUAGACAGCUAGGAGGUUGGCUUAGAAGCAGCCACCCUUUAAAGAAAGCGUAAUAGCUCACUAGUCGAGUCGGCCUGCGCGGAAGAUGUAACGGGGCUAAAACUAUGUGCCGAAGCUGCGGAUGUAUACUUUGUAUACGUGGUAGGGGAGCGUUCUGUAAGCCGAUGAAGGUGUGUUGAGAAGCAUGCUGGAGGUAUCAGAAGUGCGAAUGCUGACGUGAGUAACGACAAAACGGGUGAAAAACCCGUUCGCCGAAAGACCAAGGGUUCCAGUCCAACGUUAAUCGGGGCUGGGUGAGUCGACCCCUAAGGCGAGGCCGAAAGGCGUAGUCGAUGGGAAAAUGG
rnacentral:rRNA from 1 species